rnacentral:rRNA from 1 species
CGUGCCUAAUACAUGCAAAGUCGAGCGAACAGACGAGGAGCUUGCUCCUUUGACGUUAGCGGCGGACGGGUGAGUAACACGUGGGUAACCUACCUAUAAGACUGGGAUAACUUCGGGAAACCGGAGCUAAUACCGGAUAAUAUUUCGAACCGCAUGGUUCGAUAGUGAAAGAUGGCUCUGCUAUCACUUAUAGAUGGACCUGCGCCGUAUUAGCUAGUUGGUAAGGUAACGGCUUACCAAGGCAACGAUACGUAGCCGACCUGAGAGGGUGAUCGGCCACACUGGAACUGAGACACGGUCCAGACUCCUACGGGAGGCAGCAGUAGGGAAUCUUCCGCAAUGGGCGAAAGCCUGACGGAGCAACGCCGCGUGAGUGAUGAAGGUCUUCGGAUCGUAAAACUCUGUUAUUAGGGAAGAACAAACGUGUAAGUAACUGUGCACGUCUUGACGGUACCUAAUCAGAAAGCCACGGCUAACUACGUGCCAGCAGCCGCGGUAAUACGUAGGU